rnacentral:rRNA from 1 species
GUGAGGAAUAUUGGACAAUGGGCGCAAGCCUGAUCCAGCCAUGCCGCGUGCAGGAAGACGCAUCUAUGGUGUGUAAACUGCUUUUGUACGGGAAGAAACACUCCCUCGUGAGGGAGCUUGACGGUACCGUAAGAAUAAGGAUCGGCUAACUCCGUGCCAGCAGCCGCGGUAAUACGGAGGAUCCAAGCGUUAUCCGGAAUCAUUGGGACUAAAGGGUCCGUAGGCGGUUUAAUAAGUCAGUGGUGAAAGCCCAUCGCUCAACGAUGGAACGGCCAUUGAUACUGUUAGACUUGAAUUACAAGGAAGUAACUAGAAUAUGUAGUGUAGCGGUGAAAUGCUUAGAUAUUACAUGGAAUACCAAUUGCGAAGGCAGGUUACUAACAAAUGAUUGACGCUGAUGGACGAAAGCGUGGGUAGCGAACAGGAUUAGAAACCCGUGUAGUCC